ensembl:lncRNA
ACUGCCUGCCCUCCAUUCCACCUUCAGCACCCAGGAAAGCCAAAAAGAUCAUCAAGGACAUCAACCACCAGAGCCACGGCCUGUUCACUCCGCUGUUCACUCCGCUAUCAUCCAGAAGGCGAGGACAAAGAUCGUACAUUUUUCCUGAUCAAAGAGAGGUUUUGAAAGCCUUAUUUGACCAGGGAAUGACCAGGAGAGGGUCGCCUCUGCUGGCUGAGGCAGCCACCUGAACUGGACUGUCAGAGAGUGUGGUGGAGAAUUGGUUAGGGAAUGAAAGAAGAAAAUUGGCCCAGGGUCAAGCUGUCCCUCAUAAAACGAAGCUCUACAAACGUAAUGUGCCAGCUUACAAACUGUUUAUGAGAGACCAACAUAAAGCAAAAGGUUUGUGCAGGUUUGGCACUUUUUUGGUAUUUUACCCCCUUUUCAAUCUUGUCUCAUCGCUACAACUCCCCAACGGGCUCGGGAGGUGAAUGUCAAGUCAUGCAUCCUCCAAAAAAAUGACCCGCCAAACAGCG